UAUAGUUUCUCGACGGUGUGU
ensembl:piRNA 21ur-2949 ncRNA